CUCCACGGGGGUUACGAUGUACCGAGUGGUAUCCAGUCGGUUAGCUUGAUAUCCUCCGAAUGCUAGUCUCCGACUGGAUGAUCGAGGACCUGUUACCGACUGGAUGAUGGGGACUCCUUAAUUCAGUCGGAGCUGACUAAGGGCCUUGUCCUUUGUGAGGGGUAGUCCUUGGGUAGGACCUACAGGGCAGGUCUUUGACCCUACCCUAGGACUAUAACCCCAUCAUUAGUCCCCGAAUGGAUUGGGGUUGGAACGACGAAGCG
rnacentral:lncRNA from 1 species